AAGUCGUAACAAGGUUUCCGUAGGUGAACCUGCGGAAGGAUCAUUACAAAUCAUUGCGAGUUUAGUUGGUCAGGGGCUUUACGGCUUUCUACUAACUAGAUGAGCACAUUGGCACAAGGUCGCAAGGCCUUGAUGUUUACGCUUGUUUGUUUGACAGAGUAAAAUGUGACUAAAUAUAUACAACUUUUAACAAUGGAUCUCUUGGCUCUU
rnacentral:misc_RNA from 1 species